rnacentral:rRNA from 1 species
UGGGGAAUCUUGCGCAAUGGGCGAAAGCCUGACGCAGCCAUGCCGCGUGAAUGAUGAAGGUCUUAGGAUUGUAAAAUUCUUUCACCGGGGACGAUAAUGACGGUACCCGGAGAAGAAGCCCCGGCUAACUUCGUGCCAGCAGCCGCGGUAAUACGAAGGGGGCUAGCGUUGCUCGGAAUUACUGGGCGUAAAGGGAGCGUAGGCGGACUGUUAAGUUAGAGGUGAAAGCCCAGGGCUCAACCUUGGAAUUGCCUUUGAUACUGGCAGUCUGAGUACGGAAGAGGUAUGUGGAACUCCGAGUGUAGAGGUGAAAUUCGUAGAUAUUCGGAAGAACACCAGUGGCGAAGGCGACAUACUGGUCCGUUACUGACGCUGAGGCUCGAAAGCGUGGGGAGCAAACA